CAGCAGCCACGGGAAUACGAAGGGGGCUAGCGUUGUUCGGAUUUACUGGGCGUAAAGCGCACGUAGGCGGACUUUUAAGUCAGGAGUGAAAUCCCGGGGCUCAACCCCGGAACUGCCUUUGAUACUGGAAGUCUUGAGUAUGGUAGAGGUGAGUGGAAUUCCGAGUGUAGAGGUGAAAUUCGUAGAUAUUCGGAGGAACACCAGUGGCGAAGGCGGCUCACUGGACCAUUACUGACGCUGAGGUGCGAAAGCGUGGGGAGCAAACAGGAUUAGAUACCCCGGUAGUCCCUGUCUCUUAUAC
rnacentral:rRNA from 1 species